AGAGAUGGAUUGGGGCUUUAUGGGAGCUCAGACACAGGUGCUGCAAGGCUGUUGUCAGCUCGUGUCGUGAGAUGUUGGGUUAAGUCCGGUAACGAGCGCAACCCUUGUCCUUAGUUACCAGCACGUAAUGGUGGGCACUCUAAGGAGACUGCCGGUGACAAACCGGAGGAAGGUGGGGAUGACGUCAAGUCAUCAUGGCCCUUACGGCCAGGGCUACACACGUGCUACAAUGGUCGGUACAAAGGGUUGCCAAGCCGCGAGGUGGAGCUAAUCCCAUAAAACCGAUCGUAGUCCGGAUUGCAGUCUGCAACUCGACUGCGUGAAGUCGGAAUCGCUAGUAAUCGUGAAUCAGAAUGUCACGGUGAAUACGUUCCCGGGCCUUGUACACACCGCCCGUCACCCCAUGGGAGUGGGUCGCUCCAGAAGUAGGUAGUAUAACCUCGGAGGCCGGUACCAAGGAGUACCAAUUUAAG
rnacentral:rRNA from 1 species